rnacentral:rRNA from 1 species
UACGUAGGGUGCAAGCGUUGUCCGGAAUUAUUGGGCGUAAAGAGCUCGUAGGCAGUCUGUCGCGUCGGAUGUGAAAAUCCAGGGCUCAACCCUGGACCUGCAUUCGAUACGGGCAGACUAGAGUUCGGUAGGGGAGACUGGAAUUCCUGGUGUAGCGGUGAAAUGCGCAGAUAUCAGGAGGAACACCGGUGGCGAAGGCGGGUCUCUGGGCCGAAACUGACGCUGAGAAGCGAAAGCAUGGGGAGCGAACAGG